CGCGCAGGCGGUCGUUCAAGUCGAGUGUGAAAGCCCCCGGCUCAACUGGGGAGGGUCACUUGAUACUGAUCGACUCGAAGGCAGGAGAGGGAAGCGGAAUUCCCGGUGUAGUGGUGAAAUGCGUAGAUAUCGGGAGGAACACCAGUGGCGAAGGCGGCUUCCUGGCCUGUUCUUGACGCUGAGGCGCGAAAGCUAGGGGAGCAAACG
rnacentral:rRNA from 1 species